CAGUCGCCGCGGGAAUACAGAGGGUGCAAGCGUUAAUCGGAAUUACUGGGCGUAAAGCGCGCGUAGGUGGUUUGUUAAGUUGGAUGUGAAAUCCCCGGGCUCAACCUGGGAACUGCAUCCAAAACUGGCAAGCUAGAGUAUGGUAGAGGGUGGUGGAAUUUCCUGUGUAGCGGUGAAAUGCGUAGAUAUAGGAAGGAACACCAGUGGCGAAGGCGACCACCUGGACUGAUACUGACACUGAGGUGCGAAAGCGUGGGGAGCAAACAGGAUUAGAUACCCCCGUAGUCCCUGUCUUUUAUAC
rnacentral:rRNA from 1 species